AUUAUGCAUUUGUCUAAACCUGAUCGAAAACUCAUCACAAUCCUCCCGUGUCCUCUUCAUCUUCCACUCCAUCUCAACCCAAACAGAAAUCUCGACCCAUUCUCAUCCCCAACGGCAACUUGAACCCCCAAGUCAGGUAUAGGAUGAAGCUCGACCUCCCAACCAUGUACUUGACAUGUUUCUUAAUCUAUAAUGUAAUCCAUCAAAGGUACUUUACAUCAUGAAUAAAGAGUGAUGUUGGACCAAGUUGGAGCUUUUGCAAAUGGUGUAAUUGUCAAAGAAGUUGAUGAAUAAACUUUCUGCAUAUGCAAAGAAUUGAUAGAUGGCGUAGUUCUUGUAAGCCGUGAUGCCAUCUGUGCCUCAAUAAAGAUGUAGGUGUUAGUUCUUGAGAUUUAUAUAUUGAAUCUCGAAGCUUCAAACGAUUUUGUGAAUUGGUGGGCCAACAUUUCUCACGGUUGUCGUCGUUCAUGGAGCUUUGAUAUGGGGAAGGGGUUUUCGAUGGGAAGGGCUAGGGGCAGUUCGCAGGGCUUCAGGUUUCAAUUUCCCGAGUAGAUUUCUCCCUAUUUUUUAUUUGUUAUGGGUUUUAAUCAGAUGUUUGAAUGUGUAGUGUAAAUUUAGGCCACUAUCUUAUGUGUCUAUUUAUAAUUGGAGGACUGUUAUUAUACUCUUA